rnacentral:rRNA from 1 species
GACGAACGCUGGCGGCAGGCUUAACACAUGCAAGUCGAACGAGAAGCUUACCUUCGGGUAAGUGGAAAGUGGCAGACGGGUGAGUAACGCGUGGGAACGUGCCCUUCGGUACGGAACAACAGUUAGAAAUGACUGCUAAUACCGUAUACGACCUCCGGGUGAAAGAUUUAUCGCCGAAGGAUCGGCCCGCGUUAGAUUAGCUUGUUGGUGGGGUAAAAGCCUACCAAGGCGACGAUCUAUAGCUGUUCUGAGAGGAAGAUCAGCCACACUGGGACUGAGACACGGCCCAGACUCCUACGGGAGGCAGCAGUGGGGAAUAUUGGACAAUGGGCGCAAGCCUGAUCCCAGCCAUGCCGCGUGGAUGAAGAAGGCCCUAGGGUUGUAAAUCCUUUCGGUGGUGAAGAUAAUGACGGUAACCACACAAGAAGCCCCGGCUAAUUUCGUG